AGGGAGAAACAUCCCUAUUUCUAUGAGUGGUGAUGAAAAGUAAUUAAGCCUACAGGGUGACACCAUUUUUGUAUGAUUUUCUUGCAAGCCUAGGAAAAUGGUGAAAUAUAUUCUCCUCUCCAGGCUCAGAACAGGGCCUAGAAAUCAGAGGUCAAGCUGUCCCCAGGUGAACCUGGCAGGGACAUGCUUCUUUGGGACCAGAGCAAGCCACAAAUGCUACUUUCAUCCUCAAAAAGAAAAGAGGGAGAGAACUUUACAUUGGCUGAGAAAGUGUGAGAAAUUCAUCCCACUGUACCUUUCCUUGUGGAUAACCAGCUGACCUCUGCCUUCAGCACCCACCGCUGCCUCAGCUGGGCACCCUUCUGACACAUUAAUUCUACAGCAAGGC